UGCUUGUACUGAUGGCCUUUGUUUGCUUCUGGGCUCCUGUUCUCUCCUGAGCUGUUCUCCACAGAUGGCAAAAGCAGCAGUCAGAAUUCCCCUCAGGAGCCAUGACAAAUACCCUUCCACAACAGGACUUGAGAGCCAGUUUCAGAAGAAAGCUGUAAGGCACUGGAUAACUUGUCCUAAAACUGCUCUCUGGCAGAUUUGGUUUUGACCCUGUUCAGGACCUGCAGACUACUCUGAACUUUAGAGGGCAUCUCUUUGGUGCUUUGUGCCACACAAGCAAGAUUGCUUUAGUUUAUUAUUAUUAUUAUUAUGCAGUUUAUUGGAAUGCUUUUUUGGAAGUGUUUCCAAGUUCCUCUACCUCUUUUCCAGGAAAGAAGUGUGUGAAUGUAUUUGAAGUUCCUUUCCCAAGUAAGCUCUAGGUCAGUCUUUGUUACCAGUCAUGGAGGUUCUUUCUCUCUACUCUGCCCUGGUAAGGCCCCACCUAGAAUACUGCAUCCAGUUCUGGGCUCCCCAGUUUAAGACUGAUAGAAAUCUACUUGAGAGUCCAACAAAGGGCUACAAGAAUAACUAAGAGACUGGAUCACUGCCUGAAUGAGGAAGGGCAGAGAGACCCAAGGCUGUUUUAGUCUGGGGAGAAGAGGACUGAGAGGGGAUCUAGCAAAUAUAAGUAUCUGUAGGCUGGGGGUCAGGAAGGAAGGAGCAACGAUAGCCUCUGCUCACUUGUGCCCUGGGAUAAGGGAUAUAAACUACAGCACAGGAAGUUCCACCUCAACAGAGAGGUUGUGGAGUCUCCUCCUUUCCAGAAUUAUCUGGAUGUGUUCAUGUGCAACCUGUGCAAGAUUCUAUGGCCCUGCUCUGGCAGGGGAGUGUGACUGUCUCCAGAAGUCUCUUCCAAUCCCUGUGAUCCUGUGAUCUCCUGCUUACAUACCUUGGAGCCUGGACAGUUUCCUCAGAGGCACUUCUGCCUUCAAAAAAGGGAACUAGUGGAAGUCCUGGGUUUUGAAGAUGUGCAGCAGUACCAGGUGCAGAGGAACAGGCCAAUGGAUUUCUCAUUCUCAGUGAAGGACAGGUUGGUUUUGUAGCUUACAAGCCAGCCCUCACCUUGGUGAGGGGCAGGUUGGAGUCAUCCAGGAGCUUGUGGCUAGAAUGUUGUUCCUUCCUAGUGGUAGAAUGCUGGGAAGCUGUAAUUGGGCUGCUCAGUCUGAUCAGUAGUGAGAAGCUCGCAUGAAGCAGGCCUGGUGUUUGAGAGAGCAACAUGGUUUGUGUAUCCAGCCACCUGCUACACAUCUGGAACUGCUCUGGCCACAGCUUUUGGGUUGUGCUAUAGCCAAAUGAAGACUGGCUUGCUUGGGAUGCUGCAAACAAGAAGGUACUGAACUGACUGCAUGUGUGAAAGCGAAGUAGGGCUUUAGCCAUGCUCCUGUCUUGCUGGCACAGGCACAUGCAUGUGACUCAGCUGGAGUGCUGGUGAGUGCCACUGGAAGCCACUUGUUUGCCACUGUUAAGUUAGUCACAAGUGCUUUCGCUUGCUGUAAUGCAGCUCACUGACCUUCUGGAGCUCUUCUGUAUCACAAAACCAGCAAGGCUAAAGGGAUGGUUGAGAAAGUCCCAUAGUAGUUGUUUUGAGUCUAUGGGCAAUCUACUGCAGGCUUUGAAGGAUGCAUACACAGAUACAGCCUAGCUCUGAACAAGGCACUGGACUGCUUCAGGACCCUGCCUGCAGAAAAGGGACUGCUAACGAACUUGUGCUGUCUUUUGCUUGCAGCUGUAGGAAUCCCUUGCAGCCAGCAGAUGUUCAGACCAUGGCUUUGGUCGUUACUCCAGAACUACCCUGGUUUAAGAGAAGAAUUUGUGCUCCAAAAGAGUUGAAAGCUGUGGAUGGCAGAAAGAGGAAAUGGAAAGACCAAAACCAUUUUGUUGAAUAGACUCAAACCAAGAAGCUGCAAGAAAAGAAACUGCCAGACUGCCACUUAAAGCACUUGACUGCACAGGUCCUAGGGGACAUGUCAUGCUGGUCCUUGCAUGAUCACUAACCUGAUGAAUAGUUACUAUCCAGCAUUUGGUCGUGCAGGGCUUCAGGAAGUGCAGACCCAGGUGUCCUCUGGUGGUUUAAAAGCAGAGCUGUUUAGAAACAAGGCUAAAAGGUGUGAAUCAACAGCCAAGAUGCCCUGGUGACCUGCAGGAUUGUAGAAACCUCAACAGAAGUCUGUACCAGGCCGCUGAGUUGUGCUGGAAAUUGUGGCAGCAGGUCUGUUGGACUUGGACAGCAGCUCUGCUAGGGGUCAAAAAUCUCCUCCACCUCCAGAACAGGAGAACCUUUGCCUGCUGCUGUUGCAGCUGGAAUGUAAAGAGAACACUGGACAAGUGCAUCAGCUGAACAAAAAUCCACAUGACUUUGGCACUGCAUAUCAGCAUCAGCUAUCAAUGCCUAAAGCUUCAACAACUCUACUUGAAAGGCUCUCUUUCUGCUAGGGUCUCCUGCCCAGAACCACCACAGGACUAGUGCUGAAGAUGCUCAAACUCAACUGGAAAGCACACUGGCAACCCCAGGCCUAGCAAACCUCUGCAAGAAGAAAGUGAAGCUGGAGAACUUCUGAAACAGGCGAGCGACGGGGAUGACAACACAAGAGCUUCUGCUGUACUGUCCUCCAGAGGAGAUGGGCUUUGGGAGACGGAUAGUGCUUCCUGAAGGAGUUCAAUGGCUUCCCUGUGAUCCAUCUGUCUCAAAGCAGCCAUCAGCUCUACAACUGUGCCACCAGAAACCUAAGAGAGAAGACGGCAGAUGCUCGCCAUCAUCCACGUGCACUAACCAACAGGUAAAAGCCUGUCACGCUCUGCAGGAGGACAACAUUUCCUGUGUGUCUGAGUGGUCUUUAUAACCUGUUCCUGCCACAUUACCUCGUAGUUGUCUAGCAGGGUCUUCGACGGGGAAGGGCUCAAGCUGAAGGCAUUAUUCAGUAUGCCAAGACCCAGCUUUUGUGCUAGAAUGGACCAGUUUUUGCUUGGAUCGGGCAACUCCAACAGUUUGUAAAGCUGCAUCUUGUAACUUUCGUUCAGAUCUUUCAAGUGUCCUGGGGAACAGAGACUUGUUAGCUUCUUACUUAUCCAAAUCAUGCACCAGUUAAGUUCUGAGCAGAAACAAAGCCAAACAAGCAUUAAUUUAGUGUCCAUCAGUGCCAGUGCUUACUGCUGUAGUGCUGCAGUAUUGAAAAUGGACUCUUCUGUGUCACUCUGACCCAUCUCUUACCAGGAUCCUGCUCAUUCUGCGAGUGAGUGGGAGGGAGGGAGCCUCUUCUCCCUCCUCAAUUCAGUAACCAAGCUAUUACAGGGCCAUGUCCUCUGCAAGUACACUUUCAGUACUCAGCUACGAGAGGGGUACUGUCAAGUCUUUGGAGAUAUUACCUUGUGUCAGUAAGUCCUCUGAAACCACUGCUGACUCGUAGGGUUUGCCAUUGAGUAUGUCAUACACCUAAAAGAAUACAUUAAGGUCAGUAGUUAGCAGUGUUUGGUUUCGUGACAAGUCUCAGUCGUGUAUAAAACCUCAGUUCCAUCUCAAAGGAGACAGGACCAGCACGACUAAAGAUACUGUAGACUUGUGCAAAGCUCAAAGGAGAAAUCUUGGAAGUUAAUCUUCCUUGUCCUGUAGCAGUGGCUAAGUGAUACUGUCUGUCUCCAGAUGGUGAUCUGAAACAAAAUGUGGGAUAGAUUUUCACCAGUCUGGUGCUGCUCCAUGUGGUUGGAGAUGCUGAGUGCUUGUACCAUACAUUCACAUCAGCAGCAGCUAGUGCAACCUAACCCCUGUUUCUGUAGGCCACAAGAGCGUAUCUUCCCUGUACUAAAAAUCUGCAGUUCUGAAGAAGAUGCAGUAAAGAAACCACUAGGGAGUGUCUCUGAGCAUGUGCCUUCCAUUGCGAGCUGUCCAGCCACCUCCCAUGCUUUUCCAGACUGACCCCUCUUUCAAGAUGGGCCUGGUCAGUCCAGUUCAGCAGAAGCAGAAUGCUAAGUGAAGCUUUCUUCCUGUGCUGUUUUCUGAGGGCUUUCUGUGGCUGAAUGAGUUUAAUUUUUGACAGCCAAUGGGUAACUUUCCAGCAGUGAUAACUGGAUGCAGUGAAGGAAACUGGCUGGAAUAUCAUGUACUACUAAAAUCAUGAAACUAAAAACCCUACUACGUACUUCACAGUUGGCUGCCAUAUCCAGGGGGGUUGUUCCAGGCACAAUCCCUUCAUCGUCAUCUUUCACAUCAUCUAGAUCAAACAAUGGCUCAAAGUUCUCAAGGUGAGGAUUUGCACCUAGGAAACAAGUAUGCAGAAACAUUUGUAAGGAAAGGCUGCAAGUUGCUUCUUGCAGUAUUUAAGUUUUGCAUAGCAAAUCUUCUAAUUCAGCUGCUCAAACAAAAUUACACCUCACAUUGAUGGUUGUGUCAGCAAACAAUGUCUUCUUUUUAUAAAAUCAAUGAAAGUUAAACACUGUCUCCUCUCUGCAUAAAGAGGGAAAGAAGGGGAAGGUGAGAGCUAGGGCCUAGACAGUGAGCUAUGACUGCAUGAACUGCCUUCAGUCCUGUUCUGGGGCUCUCACCUGGCCUAGCUGCUGAAGUAAGGGAUGGGGGGUGCCUCUUUUUAUAUUGUCAGAGCAAGUGAGGAUGUGAUUAAAAGACCAAACACAGCACCAGAGGAAUGGGAGGUUUGGAUUUCUGUUUCAAACGAGGAAAAAAAACAGAUUAAAUACAUUGACAAAAUGUUCUCAAAUAUUCAAAACUGAUUCUUCCACGAUAGGAAAGAGGAGGCAUUAACAAACUCCUCUUUCAGUGACCUUUAAAAGCAGAAAAAAAAACCAGAAGUCAACACUUAUCCCAACUAUGUAACAAGGUCUCCUCUCUCCUGCUUCGACUACAAAAAAGCUAUACAAAAGAAAUAUUCAAAAAACUUCCAAGUGUGCUCAAAAGAGUUUUUUUCCCUUGAGUAACAAUGUGCUGAUGUAGCCAGCAGAUGGUGCUACAGAGCACCGCAGGAGGACGUGCCUUAGCACAAACACACCAAGCUCUUAACAGCUGACUUCUGCUCCCCACGCAAGGGCACAGGCACCUUCUCUACCUACGUUAGCCCUGUGAAAGAAAACUCUCUAGCACAUAGUUAUUUUCGUACCUGCUGCUUUGAGAACUGCUGCCAGUUUUGUAGAGCCCCUUCCAGCUGCUAUGUGAAGUGGAGUUGUCCCAUCGUAUGUAGUGCUGUCCACAUCUGCAUCACCCUAAGUGUUUAUUGAAUGACAAAAAGAAAAGUGCUACUCAUCUAUACAGUACAGCUGCACAAACACAGCUACUGUGCAAAUAAGCACCACUGCACACCUGUGUGCAGAAAAACUCCACUCACUGCCUGAACAGAAGGAACUGGAAACUAAACCACAAGUGUCUGCUGCAGAAACAGUGGGUAGUUGUGGGCACAGCAGGAGGCACAACCUAUCGACCCAAAGAGGUCACUUUGCACCCCAUGGCAUAGUUCUGCCAGCUGCUCACCUGCAGCACAGGCAGCCUGAACUGGUGUGCAGGGAAGCCUGUCCCUGCUGCACUGUAGGAGAGCAGGCAGGCCGCUGGCAUGCCCCUGCAGGGAUGCAGAGGAAAGCUACUGCAGCCAGCUGUCGGUGUGUAGAAUUAAGCACAUCGAGAUCAAAGUGUUAAGAAGUGAGACAAGCAUUUAUAGGUAUACACAACUCUCUCUGCACAUCUUUAUGCACAGAUUAAGUGAUUAAUUUGUUCAUGAGUGGUUUCACUGGCUGCUGGCAUUACUCAGGGCAAACUGAAACACAGCACAGGUGGUCAGGUGAGGGUCACAGACUGCAGAUUCCUCACCUUGGGCAAAAUGUUCCCUGGCAGUGGUGAAGUAGCAAUAAUGAAUAAUAGUAGCAAUAAUUUUGUCACACCAGUUUAAGUAAUCAUGUCAAUAAACAGGAAAAAAAAAACUUA